GACGAACGCUGGCGGCGUGCUUAACACAUGCAAGUCGAACGGAAAGGCCCUGCUUUUGUGGGGUGCUCGAGUGGCGAACGGGUGAGUAACACGUGAGUAACCUGCCCUUGACUUUGGGAUAACUUCAGGAAACUGGGGCUAAUACCGGAUAGGAGCUCCUGCUGCAUGGUGGGGGUUGGAAAGUUUCGGCGGUUGGGGAUGGACUCGCGGCUUAUCAGCUUGUUGGUGGGGUAGUGGCUUACCAAGGCUUUGACGGGUAGCCGGCUUGAGAGGGUGACCGGCCACAUUGGGACUGAGAUACGGCCAAGACUCCUACGUGAGGCAGCAGUGGGGAAUAUUGCACAAUGGGCGGAAGCCUGAUGCAGCAACGCCGGGUGCGGGAUGACGGCCUUCGGGUUGUAAACCGCUUUCGCCUGUGACGAAGCGUGAGUGACGGUAAUGGGUAAAGAAGCACCGGCUAACUACGUG
rnacentral:rRNA from 1 species